CUGCCAGGAACCGCCCAGAUGUUAAUGAGAAAUCGCGGGAGAACUGCUGAGUAACGGCCCUGGCAAAACCCCGACCCUGACAUGACACAGCACAUCCGAGAGGCGACGCGGUCCUUCGGGGUCAAGGGACGCGCAGGGACAAUGCACACAGGACAGAACGGGGAAGCCCCGACGCCGGGCGCGCUCCUAACACGCGCGCCCGCCGCGGCCGGGAUGCCCUCACCCCGCAGGCCGAUCUGCCCUGACCGCACGGUGAAGCGCCUGGCAAACCCACCCACCGGCCUCAAUUUCCGACGGUGCAGCCGACGGUUCUCGGCAGGACAAGGCAGGAACCCGGUCCUCGCCGUGGAGCAAAAGACCCACCUCGGCUAGGCACUGCAUUAGUAACGAUAUAGCCUGAACCAGACUACGAGCAGAAAAGGACCCGGUCUACACCCGCUAGGCCCUAGGUAGGUAGAGCAGGCUCUUGGAUCCAGGCGCCCCUGAGCCCUGGGGUCCUCGGCGGCAGAAGGACAGCCCGGACGGGCCCUCCGGGGAGCAGAGGGCAGCUGUGAGGAGUGUGUCACUUCUCCCAGCUGGGGCCCCUGUUAACUGGCACAUGAUUUGACUGGGGAUCUCAAGAGCGUGUUCAGAGAAAGGAGGCCCCUACUGCCGCAGCAGCUCAGGAUUUAGCAGCAGCAGUUUUCUGUGAACAGACCGUGUUGAUCCCGAACAG